UUGGCAUUCUGUCACUUCACCUUGCAAAGCUGCAGUAAUGGAGCACGACAGCCCCUGGUAUACUACAUGGCUGCACCUGACCCCUCAGGACUGCUGGGGAAAAAAUCAUACAGAUGAAAAGCUCAAGGAGGGAAAUAAUUUAAGAGGAGAUUUAUGGUACUGAGAACAUUUAACAUGAUUGCUUUUCUGAGUCAAGACACAGCGCUCAGCCUCCCGGGAGCUCUGCUACAGAGAACACACAACCAGCCUCCAUUGUCACUGAUACUUCCAUUCGGCCCCACCACCCCAUCAAACGCAACCUUCCGAUGGGGACUGUUCCAGAAAACUGGACGACAUCUGAAGAACUCUUCCUUGGCCAUCAGCUCCAGACCCCCGCCACUGUUACAGAACCUGCUCUGGACCACCCUGUAGAAGAGCCAAGCGGUACUCGGAGAUCUUGGAAGGCAGGAGGUUUAUUUCACACCGGUGGGCUCAGAGGAGAUCACUCUCCAGAGAUCUGAGCCCCUAGCAUAAGCAGAGGGAACGAUCUAUAGUCUGUUACUUCCACAUUUCGCAUUAGUAGUAAUUUGGCGCA